GGUAGCAUAAUCACUUGUCCCCUAAAUAGGGACUAGUAUGAACGGCUAAAUGAGGAUUAAACUGUCUCUUGUAGCCAACCCAUGAAACUGAUCUCAUAGUCCAAAAGCUAUGAUAACCUCACUAGACGAGAAGACCCUGUGGAGCUUUUAAACCCAAGACAAACCUAUGCCCCCCGGUUUUUAGUUGGGGCAACUUCGGAACAAAAACCAACCUCCGACAAACACAAAAUCAAAACUAACAAGUUAAAAUCUUUACCUGACCCAAUAGACAACCUAUUUGAUCAACGAACCAAGUUACCCCAGGGAUAACAGCGCCAUCCUCUUUCAGAGUCCCUAUCGACAAGAGGGUUUACGACCUCGAUGUUGGAUCAGGACACCCUAAUGGUGUAGCCGCUAUUAAAGGUUCGUUUGUUCAACGAUUAAAGUCCU
rnacentral:rRNA from 1 species